rnacentral:misc_RNA from 1 species
GUCGAUUAUAAUUUGCUUCGAUAAGAGACUCGAUGUAACGGGGGUGUAAUUUCUUGCACCAUCAAAGAAAAAAGAAGAAAUUUACAACUGAUUACAGUUGAUACAGUAAUUCCGCAAAAGAAAAGGGGAGCGUCCUUACUCUUUCAUCGAACAUCGCUAUGCUAUGGAAUUGUUACCACCACAAAACCCUUUACGAAGAAUUUAACAGUUGAACAUGUUCUGUUAUUGCAUCAGGACAUGACUGAGCUUGAAGAAGCUCUAAACGAGCAGAAUGUGGCGUAAACUGCAAUAUGUAGUCUUCAUUUUCUUUUACUGUCCCGUAGAGCCAGCACAAGACUUCAUCUGCAAAUGCUAAGCACACUCCACCCUGCCAGUAAUUUUUCAUUUUUACUCUGUGUGUAAUAUCUUUAGUUCUCAAUCUUUCUGUGCGGACAAGACGACCAGCAUCAUCCCUAAAACCAACAACAAUAUAAGGUACACCCGCGAGAAAUGACUGGAUCCAAAACUUGAGCAAUUUCUCCCUCUCGUAUUUUUCCUCGGUAUGAUAUUCCAGCUCGCGACUAGUCUUUAAUUCCACAUAAAACCUCCUCCCAUCAUCAGUUGAAUCACAGCAGUCCAUUUCAGCCCCCAUUAAAACACGAUGUGCUCCUAAUUUUGUCUUAACUACAGAACAAAACUCAACAUUGGCAUCAACAUGAUGU